UACGUAGGGGGCAAGCGUUGUCCGGAUUCAUUGGGCGUAAAGAGCUCGUAGGCGGUUCGGCAAGUCGGGUGUGAAAACUCCAGGCUCAACCUGGAGACGCCACCCGAUACUGCUGUGACUUGAGUCCGGUAGGGGACCACGGAAUUCCUGGUGUAGCGGUGAAAUGCGCAGAUAUCAGGAGGAACACCGGUGGCGAAGGCGGUUCUCUGGGCAUGUCCUGACGCUGAGGAGCGAAAGUGUGGGGAGCGAACAGG
rnacentral:rRNA from 1 species